UAAGGGCAAUUUCGUCAUUGCAAAUUACCAUACGUGGCCUGCAAUCAAUCCUAAAGUCUACGUGUGUGUUUUAUAUUACUCCACCGUAAGCCGCAUGAGCCUCCUCUACUUUUAGUUGUCCAAAUUCAUGCUUUACAAAUUGAGUUCCUUGGACUACUUGUCUGAUCAAAUUUCUGAUAAGCAUCAUUAACGUGGAAAGGAAAGGAAGAACAGAAAAUUUGGAGUGCUAAAUUUCUUCUUCUCUUUGCUAUUGCUUUUCCUCUGUUUGCUUGGCUUCUAUGCUUUUUAUCCCUUCUGAAUAUUCAAAAGUUAGAUUAUAGUAAUCAAGUUAGAUAUCUGGAAGAUCCUUGAGAGGUGAAAUUGGAUUUUGGCCGGCUAUUUUCAGGUUUGAUUUUGGUUCUAUGCAAGGCAUCAAGUUGAUGUGGUGGAAACCCCAAGAGCAAAUGAAGAAGUUGUACCAAAUGAUGUUAAAGAAGGUUACUUUGUUGUAUUCUCAUUGAACAAAGAGGAAGAGCCGAAGAGGUUUAUUGUGGAACUGCAUUUGCUCACUAAUUCAUCAUUCUUCAAAUUACUAAAACAGACUGAAGAUGAAUAUGAAUUUGAACAAAAGGGUGUUCUUGAGGUUCCUUGUCUCGCCAAGGAAUUGCAGAAGAUUUUGGAACCCCACAUUGGAAAUUAAGAUAGUUCCUUCUAUGUUAGCUAUAUAGCUAGGUUAAAAUUUCAAAUUGUUUUUUUCAGUUUGUCAAAUUUCGACUUAGUUCUGUUAAUUAUUACUGUGUAUAGUUUAGAUGCUUAUGCAUGUUAUGGGCAUUUGUACAUGGACAAAGUAAAAGCUUUUUUCAUUAUGAUAUUAAGUUGACCUAUAAUAAUGU